rnacentral:rRNA from 1 species
AGAGUUUGAUCCUGGCUCAGAUUGAACGCUGGCGGCAUGCCUUACACAUGCAAGUCGAACGGCAGCACGGGAGCAAUCCUGGUGGCGAGUGGCGAACGGGUGAGUAAUAUAUCGGAACGUGCCCAGUCGUGGGGGAUAACGCAGCGAAAGCUGUGCUAAUACCGCAUACGAUCUCUGGAUGAAAGCGGGGGACUCGUAAGAGCCUCGCGCGAUUGGAGCGGCCGAUAUCAGAUUAGCUAGUUGGUGGGGUAAAGGCCCACCAAGGCGACGAUCUGUAGCUGGUCUGAGAGGACGACCAGCCACACUGGAACUGAGACACGGUCCAGACUCCUACGGGAGGCAGCAGUGGGGAAUUUUGGACAAUGGGCGCAAGCCUGAUCCAGCAAUGCCGCGUGCAGGAUGAAGGCCUUCGGGUUGUAAACUGCUUUUGUACGGAACGAAAAGGUCUGCCUUAAUACGGUGGGCCCAUGACGGUACCGUAAGAAUAAGCACCGGCUAACUACGUGCCAGCAGCCGCGGUAAUACGUAGGGUGCGAGCGUUAAUCGGAAUUACUGGGCGUAAAGCGUGCGCAGGCGGUUAUAUAAGACAGAUGUGAAAUCCCCGGGCUNCACCUGGGACCUGCAUUUGUGACUGUAUAGCUAGAGUACGG